rnacentral:rRNA from 1 species
CCUACGGGUGGCAGCAGUGAGGAAUAUUGGUCAAUGGGCGGGAGCCUGAACCAGCCAAGCCGCGUGAAGGAAGACGGCGCCAGGCGUCGUAAACUUCUUUUGUCGGGGAACAAAGGGCGCCACGCGUGGCGUUGUGAGUGUACCCGAAGAAAAAGCAUCGGCUAACUCCGUGCCAGCAGCCGCGGUAAUACGGAGGAUGCGAGCGUUAUCCGGAUUUAUUGGGUUUAAAGGGAGCGUAGGCCGGCUUUUAAGUCAGCUGUGAAAGUCCGCGGCUCAACCGUGGAAUUGCAGUUGAAACUGGAGGCCUUGAGUGCACACAGGGAUGCCGGAAUUCAUGGUGUAGCGGUGAAAUGCUUAGAUAUCAUGAAGAACUCCGAUCGCGAAGGCAAGUGUCCGGGGUGCAACUGACGCUGAGGCUCGAAAGUGCGGGUAUCAAACAGGAUUAGAUACCCCGGUAGUC